rnacentral:ncRNA from 1 species
AUAAAUGCGAUGAAGGCGUUAGUAGAUAUAAGUUAACUUUUAGAGAGAAAGAUUCAAAGGCUGAAAGAUCUUUUAAGCACUGUCUUAUGUUGAGAUUCCCGCUUAUAGCAGCAUAUCUUAAAGCAUAGUGGUUGUUAGUAGGAUAUGACGUAGGUCAUACGUUACAUGAUAGAGUGUCCAUAUGUAUAUAUGGGAAUUUGGGUGGUACCGCGAUUUAUACUUCGUCCCUUUU